rnacentral:rRNA from 1 species
UGGGGAAUAUUGCACAAUGGGCGAAAGCCUGAUGCAGCAACGCCGCGUGAGUGAUGAAGGCCUUCGGGUUGUAAAGCUCUGUCUUCUGGGACGAUAAUGACGGUACCAGAGGAGGAAGCCACGGCUAACUACGUGCCAGCAGCCGCGGUAAUACGUAGGUGGCAAGCGUUGUCCGGAUUUACUGGGCGUAAAGGAUGCGUAGGCGGAUAUAUAAGUCAGAUGUGAAAUACCCGGGCUCAACUUGGGUGCUGCAUUUGAAACUGUAUAUCUAGAGUGCGGGAGAGGUAAGUGGAAUUCCUAGUGUAGCGGUGAAAUGCGUAGAGAUUAGGAAGAACACCAGUGGCGAAGGCGACUUACUGGACCGUAACUGACGCUGAGGCAUGAAAGCGUGGGGAGCAAACAGG